rnacentral:rRNA from 1 species
UACGGAAGGCAGCAGUGGGGAAUAUUGCACAAUGGGCGCAAGCCUGAUGCAGCCAUGCCGCGUGUAUGAAGAAGGCCUUCGGGUUGUAAAGUACUUUCAGUCGUGAGGAAGGUGUUAAGGUUAAUAACCUUAGCAAUUGACGUUAGCGACAGAAGAAGCACCGGCUAACUCCGUGCCAGCAGCCGCGGUAAUACGGAGGGUGCGAGCGUUAAUCGGAAUUACUGGGCGUAAAGGGCACGCAGGCGGUUAAUUAAGUUGGAUGUGAAAUCCCCGGGCUUAACCUGGGAAUGGCAUUCAAGACUGGUUAGCUAGAGUCUUGUAGAGGGGGUAGAAUUCCAUGUGUAGCGGUGAAAUGCGUAGAGAUGUGGAGGAAUACCGGUGGCGAAGGCGGCCCCUGGACAAGACUGACGCUCAUGUGCGAAAGCGUGGGGAGCAAACGAGGAUUAGAUACCCGGU